UCCUGGAGCUGCUUUGAAGAUGGAUGA
rnacentral:piRNA from 1 species